UACGGAGGGUGCGAGCGUUAUCCGGAAUUACUGGGCGUAAAGGGCGCGCAGGCGGACUGUUAAGUUAGCUGUGAAAGUUACAGGCUCAACCUGGAAAUAGCAGUUCAGACUGGGAGUCUAGAGUACACUAGAGGGGGGCAGAAUUCCGCGUGUAGCGGUGAAAUGCGUAGAUAUCUGGAGGAAUACCGAUGGCGAAGGCAGCUCCCUGGGAUUUUACUGACGCUGAUGCGCGAAAGCGUGGGUAGCAAACAGG
rnacentral:rRNA from 1 species